rnacentral:rRNA from 1 species
CUCGUAGGCGGUUCGUCGCGUCCGGUGUGAAAGUCCAUCGCUUAACGGUGGAUCCGCGCCGGGUACGGGCGGGCUUGAGUGCGGUAGGGGAGACUGGAAUUCCCGGUGUAGCGGUGAAAUGCGUAGAUAUUGGGAGGAACACCAGUGGCGAAGGCGCCUUUCUGGACUGUGUCUGACGCUGAGAUGCGAAAGCCAGGGUAGCGAACG